AGUAGCGAAUGGCAGACCAGCAGCUCCUUGUGAUCCUACAGAUGCGUCGUUCUCUUGUGCCUCCUGCACUCCUCAUGAUUCAAGUGCAUACACCAUGGCAGCAGCUUGCAAAGUUCGACAGAAUGCUCAUGAGGAGACUUGGGCAGCAACAUAAAGAUAGUAGUUGUCUGAUCUGCCUGUAGUGCUCUAACCAGUAACCACAUGAAGAACAGGCCUACUCUUCUGCCAGGCUCUAAUUGGCUGAAGCAAAUUUCAGAUACGAAAGAAGAGCCCCAGCUGAGACUUACGCAACAAAGGUAAUAUAAUUGGUUCGCAUUGGAAAACAUGAGUGCUAUCUAUAACAAGAGGUUUAGCUUGGCCAAAUUAUGGAAGGGACGAGGUGAGUUCAUGGUACCUGAAGCUGAAUGUCAAUAUAGGAUCCUUAGCCCUUAUAAUUUCUUUUGAGAUGCUCUUUGCUACUAUUUGCAUGCUAUAUCAUUGUCUAUCGCCUAGAAUCCAAAUCAAUGUAAUCUGGAUGCCAGGUUGCAAUGUUAAUUGUGAGUGUGGAUAGCCCAUGCAUAUCAAAUUCAGAUGGUAUAUAGUAUAGAUCCAACCGAUUACUGAGCAAGAAGAUGAAACAAAGCAAGGCAAGAAUGUCGCAACUUCCGGACUGGUCCUACUACUAGAUAGAAAGAUAACCAACAAUAAUUUGAAGCUAUACCAUGGCUAAAUGGUAUGAAUUACACAAAUACUAAUUGUGUAUAAUGCGGCUAACUGUAAGUAUAUAUGUUCUGGUGAAAAAUAAUGGAAAAGAGAGAAGCAUAAUUAGAUUAAAAAACUUCAUUAUUCUCCAUUUAUGCUUACUAUUAUUGCAUUUGAUUUACAUAUGUUGAACGGAAUUUACAACAGCUCUUGUGAGUUUUGAUUCUCAGUUGAGAAUUACUUAAAGAGCCACAUGAUUGUUUGUCUGAAUCUUUGCUUGAAUCUGUUUUGUUCAAUACAUAAGGCACAAGAAUAUACCUACAUAUAUAGAUAGAUAUGCAUUCUAAUUAGAAAAUAGUACCUAUGGAUCUAGCUUGGAAUCGGAUAUAAUUAUAUAUUGGUUCUAGAUUUUCUUUUAUUGAACAUAACUCUAAUGUAU